GACAGCACCAAGAAAUGGCAAAAAUUGUGUUGCUGCUGCUGUUGCUGCUGCUGAUACCACAAUAGCCUCACUUCUCUGUGACAACUGCCACUCACUUUAUGAUACAGGGAGAAUUCUUCACAACAUUCAGAUCAAGUAAGGCCCCGGUGAGCCUGCCUUCUUCUGUAGCUUCUACGUUCAUUCGGUUCCACACCAUCAAGAUGCCAGAAGCAAUGGCUAUACUGCAAAGAACACCACUACCCUAGAAGUUCCAAGCCUUGGAUUCCAGCACCCCACGUACUGUAGGUGUUUGAUUUGAUCAAAGCACUUAACAUCUCUAAGACUCAGUUUCUUCAUCAGUUCAAAUAGAAAUAAGAAUGUCUUUCCUACCUACCUU
rnacentral:lncRNA from 1 species